ACGGCUCUUCUGCUACUGCUAGCAUCAUAUCAAUGUACUGCUUUUUGGCAACUUUUAGUUACGUUUGAACGCGUACUGCCACAGCUCUCAGUGCUGCAAACAGGAGAGGAUUGUUUCCCUAGCCUGUGCAGAGGGCUGGCAGCACACCUAUCCCUCUGUGUACCCAUAGCUGCACACCCUUCCCUCAGCACUCACCCUUACCCUUGGCUCCCAACGGCGCGGCCUGGCACGCAGGCUGUGCACAGGGCUCGGCAGGAAUAUCCCAGAGCUGGUUUCUGUGUACCUGAGAGGCCACUGCUGGCUCCUUCACCUUUAUGGUUCCCUUCAUUUCGACCCCUCAGAAACUCAGAUCCCAGAGCUACUGACAAACCAGAAGACUUUGCACUCUUUGCUGAACCUUCUUUGCCUUCUCUGCCACCCAGAGAGCCUGGGAGCCUGCUCUGUGUGGACUUCACCCAGUGUCACAGGUGACACUUGUCACUGUCCUUUUUUUAGUAUGUGGGGGAAAACAAUCCUCCGUCAGUCUGAGAAUGCUUUACAUUCAAACAGGAAGAACAUAGUUUUGCAUGAGGAAACCUUCAAAUAAAUAAAUUGUCGAGAAUUUCCUACAAAAUCAUGCCUGGACACUAUUUCUUCUCUGACAGAGGGACUCAGGCAGUAAACAGAGGUACAGAAUUUGACAGCAAUGACCUUCUAUUGCAACAUACCAGCUCUGUGUAAUACUUGGAGUAAAGUAAUUUCAGUAAUAUCAGAUGCACAGUGAGCACACAAGCUGUCCCUACUGCCAGCUUAGCUUUGCUGGCUGUCA